rnacentral:misc_RNA from 1 species
ACCAGUGAUCUCCAGCUGUUUCCUCCCCUUCCCUAGCUUGUUCUGGUUUUCUCCUCUCAACUACUGCAUCAAGUCUGGUAAAAUCUGCUAUGCCAUGUUAAUUUCUGUUAAAUUUAUUUUGGUUGUUUAAGGUAUUGAUGAAGCUUGGAUCUGUUGAUUUGUGGAUGGAUUUGGGUGUAUGGUGCUAGGUACGCGCCUAUAAUUUACAGGAUCUGUCAAAAGAGGGUUUUCUGUGGGUUUUGAAAAUUGUUAAGAAUAUCAACCCCAGAAGAGAUUAACUCUCUGGGUAAGAUAGAUGGGGAUCCUGAUAUUUCCUUGGAAAAGCUUUGCAUAUCUUGGGUUGAUUUUUAAUUAAAGACCGAUGAACUGGUUUUUAGUUUGCUUAUCUUUUAGGGUCUGUGUUAACUUCUAAAUUACUUUCAUUAAUUUAAAAUUGUACUUCUUGAUUAAAAAAAUUAAAAUUGUACUUGCUGAUUUUCUUUAUUUAUGUUAAAUGGCUAUUUUUAAUUAAAAAAUAUUUAAUUAUUCAAAAUUUUUUAAUCAUUCUGUUAAUUUUUUUUCAUGAGUCAAAAUUAAUUAAGUUAUUA